rnacentral:rRNA from 1 species
AUGAAGCUGCACAUGAGGGGCCAGCUGGUCUGGGAGCACCUCUCUGGUGCUCUGCCUUGUCCCCUGCUGCCCACUCCUCCAGCUGAGUUGGCCUUCCCUGUUGAUGCCGAUGAAACCAAGCAACGUGAGAUGCUAGAUGCUUUUGAAGAGGCCACUGAAGAGUAUCAGAAUCAACUCCACUUAUACAAGCAAUGGACAAAUGAUGAUGCUCGAGCCUCUUCUAUCUUGGUGAACAGCAUGGAUGUUGAUCUCACCAUGGAUGUGGUGGCCCUUACCACUGCAUAUCAGAUGUGGGAGCACCUUCGCCAUCGCUAUGAGUCUACAGGGGAUGCCAUGUAUCUCUCUGUUGUUCGUCAAGAGCAACAACUACAACAGGGAGAUGCUACUGUGGAUGAUUUCUACAAGGAGAUGUCGGCGGUGUGGCGCCAAUUGGACUCUCUGGGAGCUGAUGUUUGUCGCAGAUGUCAGUGUUGUGUGCGGCAACAAGCUAAGCUGGAGGUUCGUCGCCUCUACGACUUCCUCACUCGCCUCCGGCCGGAGUUCGAGCAGAGUCGUGCUUAG